rnacentral:rRNA from 1 species
GUGGGGAAUAUUGCGCAAUGGGGGAAACCCUGACGCAGCGACGCCGUGUGAGGGAAGAAGGCUUUCGGGUCGUAAACCUCUGUCAGAAAGGAAGAACCUCCCAAGUCCGAAUAGGGCUUGGGACUGACGGUACUUUCAAAGGAAGCACCGGCUAACUCCGUGCCAGCAGCCGCGGUAAUACGGAGGGUGCAAGCGUUAAUCGGAAUCACUGGGCGUAAAGCGCGCGUAGGCCGCUUUGUAAGUCGGACGUGAAAGCCCUCGGCUCAACCGGGGAACUGCGUUCGAUACUGCGAGGCUUGAGUCCGGGAGAGGGUGGCGGAAUUCCGGGUGUAGGAGUGAAAUCCGUAGAUAUCCGGAGGAACACCGGUGGCGAAGGCGGCCACCUGGACAGGUACUGACGCUGAGGCGCGAAAGCGUGGGGAGCAAACAGGAUUAGAAACCCGGGUAGUCC